AUGAAUCCCAGAAGAUCUUUGUAACAUGAGAAGAACUAUGCAAAUUAUUCUGAGCUCCAGACCCACUAAAACUUAGUUCUGGGGUUGAAGUUGAACUUUAGCUUUUACUCACAAUGUUCAGUGAACAUGGGCUGUGGAUAUUUGUACUGAACAGCUUGACAAUUCCCCUCCCCACAGCGAGUCUUUCGCUAUUUACUCAACUUCCCGCCUUCCUCAACAAACCCCAAGACCUUCCUGAAGACAUUGGAUCUGGGAAGUGGAAGGAAGGGAUAGUUUGGAAAGCCAGCCUGGGAGACCUUUUUUGACUUUGUUGACCUCAAUCCCCAAACCAAGCUUGAUUGGUUUACUUUGAAUCCUUGUGAAUCAAAUCAUGCAUGGAUUCCAAAGUGUAAAUCUGCUGAGAAGCUACUCUGGGUUGUAACAGCACGCACCACAGACCUGGUCACACUCUGAAGGUAUUCCUGGAAGCACUACCUCUGGAGGCCUAACAGAAAGAUGUCUGCUCCCCACCUCUUCAUAAGAAACAGAGGAGGCAAGGCAAGCCCUUCGAGAGGUAGUGAUCAGCAUGAGAGAGGGACAGGAGGAGUGUGCUGUUAUG